UACAGAGGGGGCAAGCGUUGUUCGGAAUUACUGGGCGUAAAGGGCGCGUAGGCGGCCGCCUAAGUCAGACGUGAAAUCCCUCGGCUCAACCGGGGAACUGCGUCUGAUACUGGGUGGCUUGAAUCCGGGAGAGGGAUGCGGAAUUCCAGGUGUAGCGGUGAAAUGCGUAGAUAAUCUGGAGGAACACCGGUGGUGAAGGCGGCGAUCCUGGAC
rnacentral:rRNA from 1 species